AUUGAACGCUGGCGGCAGGCUUAACACAUGCAAGUCGAGCGGGGUGAUGGUGCUUGCACUAUCACUUAGCGGCGGACGGGUGAGUAAUGCUUAGGAAUCUGCCUAUUAGUGGGGGACAACAUCUCGAAAGGGAUGCUAAUACCGCAUACGUCCUACGGGAGAAAGCAGGGGAUCACUUGUGACCUUGCGCUAAUAGAUGAGCCUAAGUCGGAUUGGCUAGUUGGUGGGGUAAAGGCCUACCAAGGCGACGAUCUGUAGCGGGUCCGAGAGGAUGAUCCGCCACACUGGGACUGAGACACGGCCCAGACUCCUACGGGAGGCAGCAGUGGGGAAUAUUGGACAAGGGGGGGAACCCUGAUCCAGCCAUGCCGCGUGUGUGAAGAAGGCCUUAUGGUUGUAAAGCACUUUAAGCGAGGAGGAGGCUACUGAGACUAAUACUCUUGGAUAGUGGACGUUACUCGCAGAAUAAGCACCGGCUAACUCUGUGCCAGCAGCCGCCGUAAAAC
rnacentral:rRNA from 1 species